AUUCAGCUGAGAUUACUGUCCUCUCCCAUCUGUCAAGAUGAAGUUGAGACAGUUGGAUUCAAUCAGUCUCUUCUUACAAGGACUCACAAUCAUUUUCUAAGGCAUAAGAUUUUGAGAUAGUAAUCUGCUGCAUUACCCAGAUUUUAGACAGAGGAUUUUUGAAGAGGCCCCGGGAGUUUCUUCAAUCCCAAUGGAAGAGGAAAGAAGCAAAUGGCAGCUAUAGCUGAAGCCUGGAAUCUUGGGUCUAAAAUACAGAAGACAAUAAGUAGAUCGAGUCCAGUUCUUCAUCCGAGUCCUCAAAGCAGCAGCGCAAGAACCGGGGUAGUGGCAAACCUAGUGAAACCACCAGACAGUGGCCCUCUGGACCUCUUCACAGACUCACUUGGUAAAGGACAAAGAGAAGCAAAGCAAAUAGAAGCAGAUGAAAUAACAAUUAUCAAUGCAGUAACUGGGCAGGAGCUGAAACUUGCAAACUUGAUGCUUGAAAAGUACCUAGCACUAAACCGUGGAAGAGCAAGAUAAUGGAGACUUCAUCUAGUUUACAGCUAAUCUAAAUGGGAAAGUUGUUGGGCUGUACAGAACUGUUCCCCUCAAGAGCUCUAAGGCAUGGAAUACUAUAAUCCCCUGGUAUUAGGUAGAGAACUAGUUCUUUGAAAUCAGUAUUUACAGUUCUGGAUUUAUUUAUUUGAAUAUUUUUUUUAAUGCUUUUAUUUCAGACUUUAGGAAAAUGUGAUUAAUGCUGCUCGUUGUUAUCUCUUGCAAAGAGUUAUUUAAUCAUAUUUAAACCCAUACUAGUGUCACAUUAAAGUAUGUAUCUCUUAAAAAGUGCUCACAGCACUUUUGUCAAAUAAAAUAUAUGUUAUGCAUGUACA
rnacentral:lncRNA from 1 species